rnacentral:rRNA from 1 species
AGUCGAGCGGAUGAAGGGAGCUUGCUCCUGGAUUCAGCGGCGGACGGGUGAGUAAUGCCUAGGAAUCUGCCUGGUAGUGGGGGAUAACGUUCCGAAAGGAACGCUAAUACCGCGUACGUCCUACGGGAGAAAGCAGGGGACCUUCGGGCCUUGCGCUAUCAGAUGAGCCUAGGUCGGAUUAGCUAGUUGGUGAGGUAAUGGCUCACCAAGGCGACGAUCCGUAACUGGUCUGAGAGGAUGAUCAGUCACACUGGAACUGAGACACGGUCCAGACUCCUACGGGAGGCAGCAGUGGGGAAUAUUGGACAAUGGGCGAAAGCCUGAUCCAGCCAUGCCGCGUGUGUGAAGAAGGUCUUCGGAUUGUAAAGCACUUUAAGUUGGGAGGAAGGGCUGUAGGCUAAUAUCCUGCGGUUUUGACGUUACCAACAGAAUAAGCACCGGCUAACUUCGUGCCAGCAGCCGCGGUAAUACGAAGGGUGCAAGCGUUAAUCGGAAUUACUGGGCGUAAAGCGCGCGUAGGUGGUUCGUUAAGUUGGAUGUGAAAGCCCCGGGCUCAACCUGGGAACUGCAUCCAAAACUGGCGAGCUAGAGUACGGUAGAGGGUAGUGGAAUUUCCUGUGUAGCGGUGAAAUGCGUAGAUAUAGGAAGGAACACCAGUGGCGAAGGCGACUACCUGGACUGAUACUGACACUGAGGUGCGAAAGCGUGGGGAGCAAACAGGAUUAGAUACCCUGGUAGUCCACGCCGUAAACGAUGUCAACUAGCCGUUGGAAUCCUUGAGAUUUUAGUGGCGCAGCUAACGCAUUAAGUUGACCGCCUGGGGAGUACGGCCGCAAGGUUAAAACUCAAAUGAAUUGACGGGGGCCCGCACAAGCGGUGGAGCAUGUGG